AGGGGGUGGCGCUUCGGGAUGGGCCUGCGGCCUAUCAGCUAGUUGGUAGGGUAACGGCCUACCAAGGCGAAGACGGGUAGGGGGCGUGAGAGCGCGACCCCCCACACUGGCACUGAGAUACGGGCCAGACUCCUACGGGAGGCAGCAGUCGGGGAUAUUGCACAAUCGGCGAAAGCCGGAUGCAGCGACGCCGCGUGGAUGACGAAGGCCUUCGGGUUGUAAAAUCCUUUUAUGGGGGAAGAGAUCAGGACGGUACCCCAUGAAUAAGUCCCGGCUAACUACGUGCCAGCAGCCGCGGUAAAACGUAGGGGACAAGCGUUAUCCGGAUUUACUGGGCGUAAAGAGCGUUGAGGCGGUUCCGUAAGUUGGGCGUGAAAGCCCCGGGCUUAACCCGGGGAGGUCGUUCAAUACUGCGGGGCUUGAGGGCAGCAGAGGGAGGUGGAAUUCCCGGUGUAGCGGUGAAAUGCGUAGAUUUCGGGAGGAACACCAGUGGCGAAGGCGGCCUCCUGGGCUGCUCCUGACGCUGAAGGCGAAAGCUAGGGUAGCGAACGGGAUUAGAAACCCCGGUAGUCCUAGCUGUAAACGAUGGAUGCUGGGUGUGGGGGGUGUAGAUUCCCUCCGUGCCGAAGCUAACGCGUUAAGCAUCCCGCCUGGGGACUACGGCCGGCAGGCUAAAACUCAAACGAAUUGACGGGGACCCGCACAAGCAGCGGAGCGUG
rnacentral:rRNA from 1 species